UACGGAGGGUGCAAGCGUUAUCCGGAUUCACUGGGUUUAAGGGAUGCGUAGGCGGGUUGGUAAGUCAGUGGUGAAAUCUUCAAGCUUAACUUGGAAACUGCCGUUGAUACUAUCAAUCUUGAAUAUUGUGGAGAUAAGCGGAAUAUGUCAUGUAGCGGUGAAAUGCUUAGAUACGACAUAGAACACCGAUAGCGAAGGCAGCUUGCUACACAGUUAUUGACGCUGAGGCACGAAGGCGUGAGGAUCAAACAGG
rnacentral:rRNA from 1 species